UAAGGCAAACAUGCUAAAUGGGUUGCACAAACUAUUUUGCCCAUUUGACAGAUGCAACCCUUGGUGUGUCCUGUUAGUAGAUAAGCUUCAAUGUGUUUAUGCGUGCACAGUCAAGUUUGCACACUUUUUUACACAA